ACGCCAAGCAGCCAUCCAUCCAGAAGCAGCCUCCGUGUUCCGUUUGUCCGGAUGUCAUCGUAGGUGGCCGGCAUCUCUGGCUUUGGGGUAUUUAUUUCCUUCCUUGCUUUGAUGGUGGUGUGGGUGGGGGAGGGGAAAAGGGAAGCUAGUCCUGUUCCACCCCAGCUCUCCACCCCACUCGCUGUCUCUUCUAGGCUUUGAUUUUGGUCCAUUUUGUAGUAAGAACUGCAUUGUCAAAGCUAAGAAGCAAUGCAAACAACAUAGCCUGGGGACAAAAGGCCACCCUGUGUCUGGUUCGGUGCAGAGAGGAAAGCGCCCUCCCUCUUCUUCCACAGCUCCCUGGGGACGAGAUGGGGGUCUUUGACUCUGGGGAAGUGGUUGAGAAAGGUUUGAGAAAGGGACAGAGAUAGCUAAGGGGGUGUCAGG
rnacentral:lncRNA from 1 species